rnacentral:sRNA from 1 species
GAUGCCGAGUUCCUGCGUCUGCAGUGUUCCAAUCUCAUAGAGAUUAUUGCAAAAAAUGGAUUUGAGAAAUUUAAACAAUUCUGCUAUGCCAUCGAGUGUGAGUGUCCACAGCUGAUCGAGGAUUUAAUUAAUGAUCGACUCAAAAAUGACGCUAGCCAGGCUGAUGAUAGUCCCGGUGAGGAAAAAAUACAAAAGGAAAUCGAAACGAUCGAUUACAUUGACAA